rnacentral:rRNA from 1 species
UACAGAGGGUGCUAGCGUUGUUCGGAAUCAUUGGGCGUAAAGGGCGUGUAGGCGGUUUGUUAAGUCAUGUGUGAAAUCCCUCGGCUCAACCGGGGAACGACGCAUGAAACUGGCAAGCUAGAGUACCAAAGAGGGGGGUGGAAUUCCCGGUGUAGCGGUGAAAUGCGCAGAUAUCAGGAAGAACACCCGUGGCUAAGGCGGCUCUCUAGUACGGUACUGACGCUGAGACGCGAAAGCGUGGGGAGCGAACAGG